UUCAAUGAUUGACAAAGU
rnacentral:siRNA from 1 species